CCUGGACGUGCUGGAAUGUGACAUGUUAGGAGGAGGUACACGGAGCUCCUGUUGGCACUCUACCAUAGACGUUGUUGUCACCUAUGUGAGUGAAACGAAGUAAGAACUGCACGCAGUCCCCGCCAGGGUCCCCGACGCCUGCUCCCCGGGCCCCCGAAGAGGAACCGGCGGCACAAUGUCACACACCUGUUUGGCUGGAGGCUGCGGCCCGGUGACGCUCGCAGCCACGGGUGUCGCGUUGGCACCUUUGCCAACUGAACCACCUCCCCACCACCACCACCCUGCCCCCCCCGUCGCUGCCUGCUACGCCCCGUGGAUGUGUCAAAAUGGCAGAUGAUGGUUGGGGUGUGUGCAGCUGCUUGGGAGGAGGAGUGCCAAGGGCGCUCGUUUCCUGCGGAAACUCUUGGAAGGCAAAAGCAACAUCCUGAGCUGGUGAGGAGACAGCAGAGGUGCUGACACGCCGACAGGCAGGGGAUCCUGGGAAAAGCCACAGACAGGAAGAGCCUGACUGGCUUUGACCCGCCGGGUCAAGGCUGGGGGCUCGGCAAGUGAAAGAUGUUUCCAAGCCACACUCGCGCGAUCAUCCACUUUUUUUUUUUUUACAGGAAACAACUUCCAAAUGCUGUGAAAUAUGCAGGCAGAUCUUUUUCUUUCUUUCUUUUUAUUGCUCGCUCUUUUGUUUGGCUCGCCUGCGACAUGAAAUGCGAUUUGGCCCUGAGCUAUAUUUGACUUAUUUGUUCCAGGGUCACUGUAUGUAAUUGCACAGAGCUUAAGUCCACGUCCCUUUUCUUCCAUGUGAAGAUACUCCUCACCCCCCCUCCCUCCAUUUCACUCUCAACAUCUGCUAUGACUAAUACAGUAAUGCUGUGAAGGCCAAAACGACACCAUACAAAGGUUUAGUAGGGCCACACUCAAAAGUAAAUAUAUAACUAGGAUAGUAAAAUUACAAGGGGAUUCAAAUGUCGUAGUGUCACAAGACUACAUUUUUGUUAUGAAAAAAAAGUCAUGAUGUCAAGAGAAAAAAGUCAUAAUGUUACAACAAUAAAAGGGUCAUAUUACGAGAAAAGAGUCAGUCACGUUACAAAAAUAAACUUUCGAUGUUACAAGAAUGGGGGAAAAAAAAACAUUGUGAGAAUAAAGUAGUAUUGUUAAUAUGAUAAUUGUAAUAUGAGGGAAAAUGUCAUGAGAAAAAAAGUUAAGCUACAAUCAAGUAAUAUCAAGGGGCGAAAGUCAAUGUUAUGAGAAUGAAGAAGAGUCAAAGUCAUGUUACGAUAAUAAAGUAUUGAUGUUAAGAGAAUCAUUUUGAAAUGUUAUGAGUAAAAAGUAAUAUCAAAAAAGUUGCAAUAUCAAGGGAGCAGUAAUUGUACGAGAAUAAAGGAGUCAUUACGAGAAAAGACUCCAGUUAUGCUACGAACAGAAAUGUAACGUUAUGGAAAAAAAGUGAUGAUAAUAUGAGAAUGAGCUUGUAGAAUUCUAAGACUGGAGUUAUAAAAUUGUGGGGGGAAAGAGAAAAAAAAACAAACAAACAUUUUUGCUCAGAAUUUUAAGACUUUAUUCUGUAAAAUGAUGCCUUUCCUUGUAAUAGUCUGACUUUUUCAAUUUCUUGCAACAAUUUUUUUCCCCUCAUCCUGACUCUUACAUAAUUACAACUUUUUAUCUCGUAAAAUUAAGACUUGCCUCGUAAGAUUUCUUUUUCCUACAGUUAUGACUAGUCUGUAAAAUUCUCUUAAUAUUUCCACUUUAUUCUCGCAAUAAUUUUACUUUUAUGUAGUGCUAUGCCUUGAUAUGACAUUAAGGAAUAAAGGUGUGAUGUUACAAGAAAAAAAAAACACAAAAAGAAAACUUACGAGAAUAAAGUCGUAGUUGGAAUAUUAGGAGAUAAGUCAUUAGGCUGUGACUAUACAGUACACUGGUAAGACUAACAAAACCAAAACUUCCUUAAGAGAAAAAAUAUUGCUAAAAAACAAAAGAUGGAAAAAAGAACAAAUUAGAAUGUUACGAGAAUAAAGUCACACUUUUACAAGAAGAAAUAUGAGAAUCUAUAGAAAUAUAGAAACGUAAUUUUAUGAGUAAAACGAUGAAAAAGGAUAUGAGCCCUUGCAUGGUUGAUUAUUUUUACUUACUUUCGUGCUCUAAAAGUUUGAGUUACAAGUGCGCAACUGCUUGACUGCACUUUCUGCUAUUUAUUGAACGGAACAGGUAAUUACAGUUAACUGUUUACAGUUUACAGUUAUAGUCAUUGCGCAAACAGCCAAACACACACAUACAAUAGAACACUCAUAAGGAGCUGCUGUAAGCCACAGCUCACGCCCAGAUGCUCACACGCAGAAUAACCGGCCAACUGCACUCACUAGGCCACGCCCCUUAAAGCCACACAUACAAUAGACGAACACGACAGUCCGUGCAGUAAUUACGCUUUCACGUUCUCUUUUUAAGUUUUUGUCUAAUACACUGCUAUUGUUCUUUAAUAAAAACAAACAAAAAAAUAAUGUAAUGGCAUUUCCCUCGCAAUAGGUGAUUAUUUAUCCAUAUUUUAAAGAUGUAUGAACCUUCACACACUCCUGUCAACCUCUACCAUACUCUUAUAAACAUUUUCUACGACUCGUAAACAACUUUUACACUCUUAAACAUUCAGUAAUCCACAAUAGUACCUACCGUACACUAUGUACAUUUUAUUGUUUGUAGUAUGUGUUUUAAUGAAAUUUAUUUUUUUUUUUUUAGUUUUGACGAGGAAGUGUUUAUUUUACCACAAAGAAAUUACAGCAUGCACUCAAAAUCCCACGAUAUGGUGAAUUAUGCGCAAUAUGAAUACAAAUCUGCAUUGCAUUGAAUGCGCAAUAGGUGAAUAGCAAGGGAACACUGCAUUUUAGUGUGGCUCGAAUAGCUGUUAAUGCAGUGUCCCUCUCUAACAAGUGUUUUGAAUUAGGCAGAUUGUGUCUUAUUUUUUUUCUCUCUCUCUCGGUGCAUGUCUGUGUGAAGGUCUCCAAAGGCCUCUUAGAGUUAAACCAAAAGAUGGUGAGGGGAGAUUGUCCUCUAGCCAGUCGUGCACAAUGACGCAUAAAUCAAGGUGUCCGUUGUUUGUCACCCUUCUGUCUCGGCAGCUCCUGGCUCGGA